CAAAUAGUAUACAAACCACGAUUUGUACAAUUACAAUUUAAAUAACGAAAUUAAGGAAAUAUCGAUAUUAAUUGAUGUAGCUUUUCUUUAUUAGUGAUACGGAACAUAUUUGAGAUUUUUUUAUUUUCUGACUGCCAAGGAAUACGCUUCAGUUAUUAUACGUCGGUAAAUGCACGUGUAUAUUAAAAUAGAGAGAGGGCGUGAUACACAAUCAGCUGUGUUGUGUUUACAUUUUGUUACUGGUUCCACGCAUAUUGAGACACUUACCUUGGUAUUUAAUAUAAUUGGGAACUAAAUCGCCCAGCCAAUCAAAUGUCGCGUUACAAUUAUUUGUGUCUGCAUAUGGCUGCCGGAAAAUCUUCAAUAACGUAACGAAACUUGUUGUUAGUCGAUUUCUUAACUAAAAAGGCUGGAAUUACAGCACGAUCGGUGUUAGAUGUAAUGCAUUGAAGUUCAUGUUCAAAAUAAACACAGACCUGGGACAUCCAUUAUCUAAUCGUCUGGUGCUGAAAUGUGGUAAUAUCCAGGUUAUCCGAAGAAUAAACGAGUGCUUGUUUGUUAGCGUAUACAACCCGUCAGAAUAAAUGAGCAUUGUUUUUUUCCUCAUUGGCAUGACAUUUUACCCAGCAGUGGGAAUCUCGUCUUUUUCCGGGACAGAGUUUUCACAAAAAUUCUCCUUAUCAGGAGAAGUGACCAACACUCGGCACCACAUUCCUCAUGGUGUCCUUUUCGAGUAUGUCUCAUGUCCACACUUCUUGAUGGCGAUCCUCAUCUUCCUGUCGUUCUCUUUAAUGAGUGGUCUCCAGAACACAAAGCUGAUGUG